rnacentral:rRNA from 1 species
GACGAACGCUGGCGGCGUGCCUAAUACAUGCAAGUCGAACGCAGUGGGGACGGGUGAGUAACACGUGGGUAACCUCCCAUCAGAGGGGAUAACACUUGGAAACAGGUGCUAAACCGAUAUUGGUGGAUGGCACCGCUGUGCAUUAGCUAGUGGGUGAGGUAACGGCUCAACAAGUCCACGAUGCCUAGCCGACCGGAGAUGUUGAUCGGCCACACUGGGACUGAGACACGGCCCAGACUCCUACGGGAGGAAGCAGUAGGGAAUAUUCGGCAAUGGACGAAAGUCUGACCGAGCAACGCCGCGUGAGUGAAGAAGGUUUUCGGAUCGUAAAACUCUGUUGUUAGAGAAGCGGUAUCUAACCAGAAAGCCACGGCUAACUACGUGCCAGCAGCCGCGGUAAUUC